rnacentral:rRNA from 1 species
AGAGUUUGAUCCUGGCUCAGGAUGAACGCUAGCUACAGGCUUAACACAUGCAAGUCGAGGGGAAACGACAUCGAAAGCUUGCUUUUGAUGGGCGUCGACCGGCGCACGGGUGAGUAACGCGUAUCCAACCUGCCCAUCACUUGGGGAUAACCUUGCGAAAGUAAGACUAAUACCCAAUGACGUCUCUAGAAGACAUCUGAAAGAGAUUAAAGAUUUAUCGGUGAUGGAGUGGGGAUGCGUCUGAUUAGCUUGGUUGGCGGGGUAACGGCCACAAGGCGACGAUCAGUAGGGGUUCUGAGAGGACGGUCCCCACAUUGGAACUGAGACACGGUACCAACUCCGUACGGGAGGCA